rnacentral:ncRNA from 1 species
AGUUCCUGUUUCAGGAUUAAUAGGGAAAUUGGUGAGAAUCCAAUGCGAUCCCGUCACUGUGAAAAAAGGGUCGACUUCAUAACCACUGGAUGAAAAUAUCAUAUCCGGGAAGGGAAGUAGACAAUGCUUUUAAGCCAGGAGACCUGCUUUUAUG